rnacentral:rRNA from 1 species
UACAGAGGGGGCAAGCGUUGUUCGGAAUUACUGGGCGUAAAGGGCGCGUAGGCGGCCAACUAAGUCGGAUGUGAAAUCCCCAGGCUUAACCUGGGAACUGCAUCUGAUACUGGAUGGCUUGAAUCCGGGAGAGGGAUGCAGAAUUCCAGGUGUAGCGGUGAAAUGCGUAGAUAUCUGGAGGAAUACCGGUGGCGAAGGCGGCAUCCUGGACCGGCAUUGACGCUGAUGAGCGAAAGCUAGGGGAGCAAACGGG